rnacentral:snRNA from 1 species
ACUCCGUGAAUCGGAGGCGGGGU